GCAGUUAAAAAGCUCGUAGUUGAACCUUGGGCCUGGCUGGCCGGUCCGCCUCACCGCGUGCACUGGCGCGGCCGGGUCUUUCCUCCUGGGGAGCCGCAUGCCCUUCGCUGGGCGUGCCGGGGAACCAGGACCGUUACUCUGAACAAACCAGACCGCUCAAAGAAGGCCUAUGCUCGGAUGCUCUAGCAUGGAAUAACGGAAUAGGA
rnacentral:rRNA from 13 species